UACGUAGGGUGCGAGCGUUGUCCGGAAUUAUUGGGCGUAAAGAGCUCGUAGGCGGUCUGUCGCGUCGGUCGUGAAAACUUGGGGCUUAACCCUGAGCUUGCGGUCGAUACGGGCAUGACUGGAGUUCGGCAGGGGAGACUGGAAUUCCUGGUGUAGUGGUGAAAUGCGCAGAUAUCAGGAGGGACACCGGUGGCGAAGGCGGGUCUCUGGGCCGAUACUGACGCUGAGGAGCGAAAGCGUGGGGAGCGAACAGG
rnacentral:rRNA from 1 species